rnacentral:rRNA from 1 species
AGCAGCCGCGGUAAUUCCAGCUCCAAUAGCGUAUAUUAAAGUUGUUGCAGUUAAAAAGCUCGUAGUUGAAUUUCGGGAUCAUCAGGUUGGUCGUGCCUCUGGUAUGUACUUUCCUCGAUGGUUCCUCCUUCUUGAAGAUCCGUAAUGCCAUUAAUUUGGUGUUGCGGGGAAUCAGGACUGUUACUUUGAAAAAAUUAAAGUGUUUAAAGCAGGCCC